GAAGGAUUGGCUGACACAAGGGAAAUAUGCAAGGACUAGAUUGGCUGACAGAAGGACUUGGAUUCCCCUUGUCCGUUACCAGAAGAUUGGAUCACCGUUGGAAUGGCCAAAAACAGUGGUCGAAAAAGGAUUUUUCAAUCGGAUCCAAACCAGGUAGCGCAACAACCAGCGCAUGAGAACAAUACGGUGUUUGGACUGUAAUGGACAAAGGAUUGGCUGACGGAGCGGUUUUUGAACAAGAACAAUAAGAGGUGGAAUCAUUAAUGGGGAUUAUCAUUUUGGAAUUGUUGCUAUUAUUUGGUUUCUAGAUCAAGAUUUAAAGAUCUUUUUUUGUAAUUGUUGCAGAUAUAGGAAAGAAAUUUGAUAUCUGAAUUACAUUUAGUAAAACUUUAAUUUAAUCAAUUUUAGUUUUCUUUAUAAUACUUUAAUUUAUAGUAUUGUUUUACUAGGUAAGUUUGAUAUAUUUAUGUAACAGUCAAGUCCACCCACAUGAGAUAUUGUCCGUUUUGAAAGCUAGGUGGUGAGCCAAAUCCUACCCCUCAUGGUUUUACUUCCUCACAAGAAGGUCUUUCAAGGAAAAGACAUCCACACCAUCUUAUAACACAUGCUCCGUUCCCUUUUCCUCCUUGACAGGGAAUGUAAAACCAUGAGGGGCAGGAUUGGACUCACUACCUAGCUUCCAAAGCAGAUAAUAUCUCGGUUGGGCCUAGGAGGCCCAGGCCCGUGGGAUUGGCAGGUGAAGGAGUGGGAUACCUAACCACUAAGAGGCCUUUUAAAAUCGUGCAAGCUGGGCCCAAAGUAGACAAUAUCUCAUGCAGAUGGACUGGGCUGUUACAUUUAGAUUAUCUGAAAUUGAGACUUUUCUUUUCUUUUUUCUUUUUUCUCUUUUCGUCUUUUGUUACUUGUAAGUUUUUGAACAAGAAGAAUAAGAGGGGGAAUCAUUGAUGGGGAUUAUCAUUUCGGAAUUGUU